rnacentral:rRNA from 1 species
UGGGGAAUAUUGCGCAAUGGGGGAAACCCUGACGCAGCGACGCCGCGUGUGGGAUGAAGGUCUUCGGAUUGUAAACCACUGUCGCGAGGGACGAAGCUCUGACGGUACCUCGAAAGGAAGCACCGGCUAACUCUGUGCCAGCAGCCGCGGUAAUACAGAGGGUGCGAGCGUUGUCCGGAAUCACUGGGCGUAAAGGGCGCGUAGGCGGCCCGGUAAGUAGGGGGUGAAAUCUCAUGGCUCAACUGUGAGGCUGCCUUCUAGACUGCCAGGCUUGAGCACAGUAGAGGCGAGUGGAAUUCCCGGUGUAGCGGUGGAAUGCGUAGAGAUCGGGAAGAACAUCGGUGGCGAAGGCGGCUCGCUGGGCUGUUGCUGACGCUGAGGCGCGAAAGCGUGGGGAGCAAACAGGAUUAGAUACCCUAGUAGUCCCUGAGCGGGCUGGCAAGGCGCAU